UUGAUGAUUAAUUUGUGUCCGUGUUUAUGAAUACGUGAUUACUUACACAAUACUGAUA
rnacentral:snoRNA from 15 species